GCGAGGCAGUCUGACAGCCAUGCCGCGUGCAGGAUGACGGCCCUACGGGUUGUAAACUGCUUUUAUAUGGGAAGAAACCCCCCGACGUGUUGGGGGCUGACGGUACCAUAAGAAUAAGGACCGGCUAACUCCGUGCCAGCAGCCGCGGUAAUACGGAGGGUCCAAGCGUUAUCCGGAUUUAUUGGGUUUAAAGGGUGCGUAGGCGGAAAAUUAAGUCAGUAGUGAAAGCCUCCCGCUCAACGGGAGAACUGCUAUUGAUACUGAUUUUCUUGAAUAUAGUUGAAGUAGGCGGAAUACGACAUGUAGCGGUGAAAUGCAUAGAUAUGUCGUGGAACACCGAUCGCGAAGGCAGCUUACUAAGCUAUUAUUGACGCUGAUGCACGAAAGCGUGGGGAGCGAACAGGAUUAGAUACCCUGGUAGUCCACGCCGUAAACUAUGAUUACUCGGUGCUGGCGAUAUACAGUCAGUGCCUAAGCGAAAGUGAUAAGUAAUCCACCUGGGGAGUACGAUCGCAAGGUUGAAACUCAAAGGAAAUUGACGGAUU
rnacentral:rRNA from 1 species